CACAGUGUAGCUUAAUCAUAAAGCAUCUGGCCUACACCCAGAAGAAUUCAUAGAAAUGAACACUUUGA
rnacentral:tRNA from 1 species